UUGAAUGUACAUAUUGUAGUACAACUUUUUUAGAACUCCGUAGUUAAACGUGCUUGAGUCAGAGUAGUACUAAGAUGAGUGACCUUCUGAAAAGUUCUCAUGUUGUUUGGG
rnacentral:rRNA from 1 species